CAGUUCCUGCUCCAUCUUCUUCUUCAGUUCAUCCUUCUGUUUGCUCAUCACUUCUUGUACCGUCUUCAUUAUUUUCUGGUUGUCCAUCUCUAAGCCUCUCUGAUCA